rnacentral:rRNA from 1 species
AGACCCGAAACCCGGUGAUCUAGCCAUGGGCAGGUUGAAGGUUGGGUAACACUAACUGGAGGACCGAACCGACUAAUGUUGAAAAAUUAGCGGAUGACCUGUGGCUGGGGGUGAAAGGCCAAUCAAACCGGGAGAUAGCUGGUUCUCCCCGAAAGCUAUUUAGGUAGCGCCUCGUGAAUUCAUCUCCGGGGGUAGAGCACUGUUUCGGCUAGGGGGCCAUCCCGGCUUACCAACCCGAUGCAAACUGCGAAUACCGGAGAAUGUUAUCACGGGAGACACACGGCGGGUGCUAACGUCCGUCGUGAAGAGGGAAACAACCCAGACCGCCAGCUAAGGUCCCAAAGUCAUGGUUAAGUGGGAAACGAUGUGGGAAGGCCCAGACAGCCAGGAUGUUGGCUUAGAAGCAGCCAUCAUUUAAAGAAAGCGUAAUAGCUCACUGGUCGAGUCGGCCUGCGCGGAAGAUGUAACGGGGCUAAACCAUGCACCGAAGCUGCGGCAGCGACGCUGAUGCGUUGUUGGGUAGGGGAGCGUUCUGUAAGCCUGCGAAGGUGUGUCGUGAGGCAUGCUGGAGGUAUCAGAAGUGCGAAUGCUGACAUAAGUAACGAUAAAGCGGGUGAAAAGCCCGCUCGCCGGAAGACCAAGGGUUCCUGUCCAACGUUAAUCGGGGCAGGGUGAGUCGACCCCUAAGGCGAGGCCGAAAGGCGUAGUCGAUGGGAAACGGGUUAAUAUUCCCGUACUUGGUGUUACUGCGAAGGGGGGACGGAGAAGGCUAUGUUGGCCGGGCGACGGUUGUCCCGGUUUAAGCGUGUAGGUGUGUGUUCCAGGUAAAUCCGGUUCACUUUAACACUGAGGCGUGACGACGAGGCACUACGGUGCUGAAGCAACAAAUGCCCUGCUUCCAGGAAAAGCCUCUAAGCAUCAGGUAACAUCAAAUCGUACCCCAAACCGACACAGGUGGUCAGGUAGAGAAUACCAAGGCGCUUGAGAGAACUCGGGUGAAGGAACUAGGCAAAAUGGUGCCGUAACUUCGGGAGAAGGCACGCUGACAUGUAGGUGAAGUGAUUUACUCAUGGAGCUGAAGUCAGUCGAAGAUACCAGCUGGCUGCAACUGUUUAUUAAAAACACAGCACUGUGCAAACACGAAAGUGGACGUAUACGGUGUGACGCCUGCCCGGUGCCGGAAGGUUAAUUGAUGGGGUCAGCGCAAGCGAAGCUCCUGAUCGAAGCCCCGGUAAACGGCGGCCGUAACUAUAACGGUCCUAAGGUAGCGAAAUUCCUUGUCGGGUAAGUUCCGACCUGCACGAAUGGCGUAAUGAUGGCCAGGCUGUCUCCACCCGAGACUCAGUGAAAUUGAACUCGCUGUGAAGAUGCAGUGUACCCGCGGCAAGACGGAAAGACCCCGUGAACCUUUACUAUAGCUUGACACUGAACAUUGAGCCUUGAUGUGUAGGAUAGGUGGGAGGCUUUGAAGUGUGGACGCCAGUCUGCAUGGAGCCGACCUUGAAAUACCACCCUUUAAUGUUUGAUGUUCUAACGUGGACCCGUGAUCCGGGUUGCGGACAGUGUCUGGUGGGUAGUUUGACUGGGGCGGUCUCCUCCUAAAGAGUAACGGAGGAGCACGAAGGUUGGCUAAUCCUGGUCGGACAUCAGGAGGUUAGUGCAAUGGCAUAAGCCAGCUUGACUGCGAGCGUGACGGCGCGAGCAGGUGCGAAAGCAGGUCAUAGUGAUCCGGUGGUUCUGAAUGGAAGGGCCAUCGCUCAACGGAUAAAAGGUACUCCGGGGAUAACAGGCUGAUACCGCCCAAGAGUUCAUAUCGACGGCGGUGUUUGGCACCUCGAUGUCGGCUCAUCACAUCCUGGGGCUGAAGUAGGUCCCAAGGGUAUGGCUGUUCGCCAUUUAAAGUGGUACGCGAGCUGGGUUUAGAACGUCGUGAGACAGUUCGGUCCCUAUCUGCCGUGGGCGCUGGAGAACUGAGGGGGGCUGCUCCUAGUACGAGAGGACCGGAGUGGACGCAUCACUGGUGUUCGGGUUGUCAUGCCAAUGGCACUGCCCGGUAGCUAAAUGCGGAAGAGAUAAGUGCUGAAAGCAUCUAAGCACGAAACUUGCCCCGA